UUCUUCGUUGCUAAGCGGUUGUCUUCAAUAUUAUUCUUCAUUAAAUACUUGGAAUGUAAUACUUAUUCAUUGCUGUUAUACCAAUAGCCUUAAAAACAUACUUUAAAUGUUUUUUUUUUUUUUUCUAUAUUAUUUGUCAUGUGCAUUGUUUAUUGCGACACGUGGCACUGUUACUGAAAACUUGUCAUGUAGCGCCUUUGUAUGUCGAUGUGCAUUUAUCGUAUACAAAUAUUUUCACUUAAGGUGAUGAUGAAAAUUAUUCAUAAUGAAAUGAAAAGCUCAAACGUUCUAUAUAAUAUUUCGGUGACGCAAGGUUACUUCGACCUAGUAACUUCAGUAACCAGAAGAUGGAAUAUUCUACUCUGGGGAGACAAGCAAGGUAAGAAAUAUAUUUUGUUAUCUCAGUUGAAAUAUUUAGUAGUAUGAAAUUUUGAGGAAGUAUGAUGAGAAGAAUAAUAAAAGCAUAGGAGUAGUUACAUGCACAUCGAGAUUUCCAACUGUUGAACCACCAAUUUUUCUGUUUAUGGAUACGAGGUGCCUGCCAAAUGCCAGUACGAGACCAGUAGCUACACCUUUUUUAUCCUGCACUGAGUGAGACCCAGGCCUGUACUUUCAUCAAGCUUGAUACUGUCAGCUUACUGCACUUCUGGGACACUAGAGGCUAAGUUGACGCUGUUGUUAAGACUGAACUGUACAGCCUCAACAAAAACAUCACCAAGGGCACAGCUAGCCAGUAUUCUACCUACCUACCUACCUCCUAAGGUCCUAAGGCCUAAAGGCCUUGCAUCCAACAACAUUCCUGGUCUCCUCUCUCGCAUGAGAAUCAAGGUUUACUACAACAAGAUAUAUGCUGUCAAUUGAUGGUGUUGUUGUCACUGAGCAUAUUGCCACAUUUACCACUGGCCUAGCUAUGCUGUUGGCCUCCUAUUACAACUUUAAUAUAAGGUACCCCAUGGAUUCUGCAUCAACACUCAAGUUCAUUCAAAGAUGUUUUGCUGGUAUCAAUCCCAAAUGGGGGAGCAAGAUAGAAGUAAAAAAAAACAUUGCAAAAGGCACUCUGAAGUCCAUCCGAAGGUCCUGUCCCUGAUUAAUGGUAUUGCUGAUGUAGACUGGAGGAGCUAAAUCCCACCAGAUGCUGUCAGCCACUAGAGGGGAGGAACCUAGAAUUGUGAUACACAAGUGGAUAAAACUUCUCUUCCAGUCUUGGUGAUGUACUUAAAUAAUGCUCUUUUUUUAAUGAUGUGUCAAUGACAAUUAUAAUGGUGAUGCUGUAAAGGUGAUGUACUUAAAU